CCUACGGGAUGCAGCAGUAGGGAAUCUUCGGCAAUGGACGAAAGUCUGACCGAGCAACGCCGCGUGAGUGAAGAAGGUUUUCGGAUCGUAAAACUCUGUUGUUAGAGAAGAACAAGUAGGAGAGUAACUGCUCUUACCUUGACGGUAUCUAACCAGAAAGCCACGGCUAACUACGUGCCGGCAGCCGCGGUAAUACGUAGGUGGCAAGCGUUGUCCGGAUUUAUUGGGCGUAAAGCGAGCGCAGGCGGUCUUUUAAGUCUGAUGUGAAAGCCCUCGGCUCAACCGAGGAAGGUCAUUGGAAACUGGAGGACUUGAGUGCAGAAGAGGAGAGUGGAAUUCCAUGUGUAGCGGUGAAAUGCGCAGAGAUAUGGAGGAACACCAGUGGCGAAGGCGACUUUCUGGUCUGUAACUGACGCUGAUGUGCGAAAGCGUGGGGAUCAAACAGGAUUAGAUACCCGUGUAGUC
rnacentral:rRNA from 1 species